rnacentral:rRNA from 1 species
CCCACUCACUUCCAACGCCGACCGCCCACCUCCCCGCGCGGGAUUCUUCUCCCCCGGCGGCGUGUUCACCCCCCGCGCUCCACCGUGCAGCGCCGCUCGUCCCUCUGAUGUCUCCAUCAGCUCCCCUCCUCUGGUCGCGGCAAUCGGCGCCCAACCUCUUUCGCCGCCUUACGUGGCUCCCUCCUCUUCCACCGCUUGAGGAGGAGUGCGUCCAGAACGGCCGUUCGAGGAGGACAAGUGGAGCCGAGCUCGCGCGUCGCGGCUUCGAUGGAGGCGACCAGCGAGGCUGGACUUCGGGGAUGGGGGAGGAGGCGGAGGAGGCCGCUGGGCUAUGCUACGAUCGAUGCCCGCGACAUGUAUCCCGGCGGGAGCUCGAGGUGGUCGCGGUGGUGAGGAGGUGUGACGGUGGAGCUGUGGGUGCUGAUGAUGACCUACCGUAAGGGAUGUCGCGGGUGGUGGUGAUCGACAAUGUGGCGGCACGAGCGUCUCCUGGCUGUAGGCAGCGGAGGUGCGGAGCUACGUGUCAUGGCGUCCUACCCUUCGGCGGCGCCAUCCCCGUGGGCGGCGCAGGCGCGGAACUCGGCCUCCGGGGAGCGUACACAACGGCCGCGGGCGGUGUAGACUUAAGCGCCGCUGCUGCCCAUCGCGGUGGACCGGGAGGAAGCGUUGGAAGCCGUCGGUGCACAGUGCAGCGGCCAUCAGCGACAACACAAGUACACAACUGCAGUGGGGCGGCGCUCUCCUUCCGGCGGUGUGCCGGAUUUGCCCACAAGUUCGGCCGUCGCGAACAUCGGCGAAGCCCAUCGUGGUUCGGUUGGGCCUCCUCUCGCGGGUCCUCGACCCGUCCCCUCUCGAUGCAGGUCCCAGAAUGCCUCCACUUUCCUCCAGCUAUAUCGGUGUGGUCUUCUUCUUUAUGAUUAAUUGAGCAUCUGUACAAAUGAUCUGGUGCUGUUCAUACAGAGUAUAUGUGCUCUGAUUGAGAUUAGAGAUGAUGGCAAUCGUUAUACAUCAUUGAUGGCAAUUCUUUAACUUAUAUGUCUAUUUUUAGAUUUGAAUCAAUCCACCCUGGUA